UAGGGAAUCUUCGGCAAUGGACGGAAGUCUGACCGAGCAACGCCGCGUGAGUGAAGAAGGUUUUCGGAUCGUAAAGCUCUGUUGUAAGAGAAGAACGAGUGUGAGAGUGGAAAGUUCACACUGUGACGGUAUCUUACCAGAAAGGGACGGCUAACUACGUGCCAGCAGCCGCGGUAAUACGUAGGUCCCGAGCGUUGUCCGGAUUUAUUGGGCGUAAAGCGAGCGCAGGCGGUUAGAUAAGUCUGAAGUUAAAGGCUGUGGCUUAACCAUAGUAGGCUUUGGAAACUGUUUAACUUGAGUGCAAGAGGGGAGAGUGGAAUUCCAUGUGUAGCGGUGAAAUGCGUAGAUAUAUGGAGGAACACCGGUGGCGAAAGCGGCUCUCUGGCUUGUAACUGACGCUGAGGCUCGAAAGCGUGGGGAGCGAACAGGAUUAGAUACCCUGGUAGUCCACGCUGUAAACGAUGAGUGCUAGGUGUUAGACCCUUUCCGGGGUUUAGUGCCGUAGCUAACGCAUUAAGCACUCCGCCUGGGGAGUACGACCGCAAGGUUG
rnacentral:rRNA from 1 species